CAUGGGUAGCUAUUGGGGAAAUGGUGGACCUUUGUCAGGAAUUCGCGGUGUCGGUCCUGUAAUUUUAAAAUCUCGACCGUUGUUCUAGGGUAGGAAUGCACUCCGUAUUCUGCAUCGGUCCUUGAUGAUCGCGGAUGCCUCUUUUCUACGACUACUCAAAAGCUGCUUAAUCCCCAUAAAUGCUGAUUUAACGGAAUAUCGCGUGAUCAUGCUGGACAAAGCGCAACGAGCGAACUCUCCACACCGACACUGCGCUCGGCCUAGUACAAGCAGCAACCGACGAGGUGAAAACCGAAUGCGUGCUUUGUGGGCGCAGUAGAAGAUACGUUAUUUGAUCCAUCCGACGGAAGUGCAUUGAGAUAUCCUGGUGUUUUUAACCAGCCAAGGGUGAUGCUGAUACGACCUGCAAGAGACUACAUGAGCGAAGGAAGAAGCGGAGCACUAAUUGUAAAUCCCCAGAGAUGGUCAUCCCGUCGAUUUGCAGUGCGCUGUCAACUGAGACACAGACGCGCAUUUUUGAUCCAGAUCUGACUGGCUCAAGGAAAGCUAUUACUGCGGACAUCGCCGAGACCAGUCCAACCAUUUGUGGAAGGAAAAAGCGAGGACCCGGAAGCACCGGAGAUGUUCGUUGCGCCGAAGUACAGAGCGCUGCCAACUGAGACACAGACGGUGGUUUGACGCCUUUCCUCUUCGCAAAGGACAACCAAUCUUCUGGAGCGCAACGAAUUGGUGUACGACAAAGAUUCCCUGUCACUGUCAGUAUAAGCUCAAAGAACUCUGGACGUACGGUCCAGCUGGCUCAGAAUGCCAAACACUGGAGGAACAGUGCAGUUACGCAGUUACGUUUAAUUACACUGUACCUGGUAAUACAGUCUGUACACUGUGCCUGGUUAAGUAAGUAAUUAUGAAAGUAACUACAACUGUUGUCGUAGUGUAUAGUAUAAUAAUGUGGAGCAUUUAGUUACAUCUGUCAAAGAAAGUACUACAGGGAAUGAAUACGCUGGUCUUGCUGACCCAAGCGACAUCGCGAUUAGCAAUCCCACAUCCGGCAAAUCGCCUGGCGCCACAAGAACUCAGGAUGAAAUUGAUUCUGGCGUGGCAUGCGUCCAGGUAUCCAUUCUGUCUGGACGCGAAACGCGGGAUGCCAACAUAAUGUUCGAGAUUGUACAGCGACAGCUGACAGGCACGAAUCAGUGUGGAUCCAUGGUCUGCUCAUGGCAGUGUGAAAUUAUGGAAGGUCACCUGCCAGAGAGCGCAGUUUUUGCGAAAAUUAAUACUCCUGCUCAGCGAGCCUGAGGGACGGCAGUCCUAGAAAGUGAAACCCGAAUGGUACCGCGACUAAACCAGUGAACGAAGUCCUUCACGCCCUGUUAUCCGAGUGGAAGGUUCCGUCCGCAUCCAGCCUCGUUAAUCAGCCGAGCCGCUCGAUAAUUGGAUGGAGUGAUAGGGCGAAUGCAGCUUACUGACCAUGAGUUCGGGGACCAUCUAUUCGCCGCAGAUCCUAGUACGUGUUACCCGAGCGUUCUAGUCGCUGUUAAGGGCGCACUAUCUGCUGGGAACGCGACAGCUGAAGAAGUGGCGGAAAAUAAAGACCAGUGCGUUUUGCUUAUUGAAUCAUUCAAACCGGUUCUUCCUGUGUAUUCUUCGCAUGUGGACCAUUUGCUGCGCAGCCUCAUCAGAGGAAAUUAUACAAAACAUUUCGACGCCUCGGAGAGAUAAUUGGCCAGACUACACCGAGAAGCGCCGCUGCCUUUAAGCGGAUCAUAGAAGCAGACCUUGUUUUG